GGGGCAACCUGGCGACGAGUGGCGAACGGGUGAGUAAAGCAUCGGAACGUGCCCUGAAGCGGGGGAUAGCCCGGCGAAAGCCGGAUUAAUACCGCAUGAGACCUGAGGGUGAAAGCGGGGGAUCGCAAGACCUCGCGCUUUAGGAGCGGCCGAUGUCAGAUUAGCUAGUUGGUGGGGUAAAGGCCUACCAAGGCGACGAUCUGUAGCUGGUCUGAGAGGACGACCAGCCACACUGGGACUGAGACACGGCCCAGACUCCUACGGGAGGCAGCAGUGGGGAAUUUUGGACAAUGGGCGCAAGCCUGAUCCAGCCAUGCCGCGUGCGGGAAGAAGGCCUUCGGGUUGUAAACCGCUUUUGUCAGGGAAGAAAUCCUUUGGGUUAAUACCUCGGGGGGAUGACGGUACCUGAAGAAUAAGCACCGGCUAACUACGUGCCAGCAGCCGCGGUAAUACGUAGGGUGCAAGCGUUA
rnacentral:rRNA from 1 species